rnacentral:RNase_P_RNA from 1 species
GGAGUUGGCCAGACAGUCGCGGCUGCGUCGCAAGAUGCAGCGGAGGAAAGUCCGGGCUCCACAGGGCAGGACGCCAGGUAACACCUGGGCGGCGAGAGCCGACGGAAAGUGCAACAGAAAGAUACCGCCUAUCAUCACCAGAGGAUACUCUGGUGAAUGAGGUAAGGGUGAAAUGGUGCGGUAAGAGCGCACCGCGCAAGUGGUAACACGAGCGGCAUGGUAAACCCCGUCCGGAGCAAGACCAAAUAGGUAUCCCAUGGCGCGGCCCGCGCUGGAUACGGGUAGGUUGCUCGAGGCGUUUGGCGACAAACGUCCCAGAUGAAUGACUGUCCAAGACAGAACCCGGCUUAUCGGCCAACUCCGCCU